rnacentral:rRNA from 1 species
AAACAGAUGCUAAUACCGUAUAACAACAGAUGAUGCCUAUCAACUGUUUAAAAGAUGGUUCUGCUAUCACUCUUGGAUGGACCUGCGGUGCAUUAGCUAGUUGGUAGGGUAACGGCCUACCAAGGCGAUGAUGCAUAGCCUAGUUGAGAGACUGAUCGGCCACAUUGGGACUGAGACNACGGCCCAAACUCCUACGGGGAGGCAGCAGAG